rnacentral:rRNA from 1 species
UACGUAGGGGGCAAGCGUUGUCCGGAAUCACUGGGCGUAAAGCGCGCGCAGGCGGUCAUCUACGUCUGGGGUGAAAGCCCGGAGCUCAACUCCGGGAUUGCCUUGGAUACGGGAUGACUUGAGGAUCGGAGAGGCAAGGGGAAUUCCACGUGUAGCGGUGAAAUGCGUAGAUAUCUGGAGGAACACCGGUGGCGAAGGCGGCAUCCUGGACCAUGACUGACGCUGAGGAGCGAAAGCCAGGGGAGCAAACGGG